rnacentral:rRNA from 1 species
CCUACGGGUGGCAGCAGUGGGGAAUAUUGCGCAAUGGGCGAAAGCCUGACGCAGCGACGCCGCGUGAGGGAUGAAGGUCUUCGGAUCGUAAACCUCUGUCAGCAGGGAAGAACGGUCACUGUGCUAAUCAGCAGUGAAUUGACGGUACCUGCAAAGGAAGCACCGGCUAACUCCGUGCCAGCAGCCGCGGUAAUACGGAGGGUGCGAGCGUUAAUCGGAUUUACUGGGCGUAAAGCGCUCGUAGGCGGUAUGUCAAGUCAAGGGUGAAAUCCCCGCGCUCAACGUGGGAACUGCCUUUGAAACUGGCAGACUGGAGUGUAGGAGAGGAGAGUGGAAUUCCAGGUGUAGGAGUGAAAUCCGUAGAUAUCUGGAGGAACAUCAGUGGCGAAGGCGACUAUCUGGCCCAUAACUGACGCUGAGGAGCGAAAGCGUGGGUAGCAAACAGGAUGAGAUACCCCUGUAGUC